rnacentral:rRNA from 1 species
UACGGAGGGUGCAAGCGUUAUCCGGAUUCACUGGGUUUAAAGGGUGCGUAGGCGGGCAGGUAAGUCAGUGGUGAAAUCUCCAAGCUUAACUUGGAAACUGCCGUUGAUACUAUCUGUCUUGAAUGUUGUGGAGGUGAGCGGAAUAUGUCAUGUAGCGGUGAAAUGCUUAGAUAUGACAUAGAACACCAAUUGCGAAGGCAGCUCACUACACAAAUAUUGACGCUGAGGCACGAAAGCGUGGGGAUCAAACAGG